CUUGCUCCUGAUGUUAGCGGCGGACGGGUGAGUAACACGUGGGUAACCUGCCUGUAAGACUGGGAUAACUCCGGGAAACCGGGGCUAAUACCGGAUGCUUGAUUGAACCGCAUGGUUCAAUUAUAAAAGGUGGCUUUUGCUUACCCUUUCCGAAGGGCCCCCGGGGCCUUAACUUAUUGGGGGAGGAACCGGUCCCCCAAGGCACCAAGGCUAACCCAACUUGAAAGGGGGUCCGGCCCCCUGGGAAUUAAAACCCGGCCAAAAUUCCUCCGGAAGGAACAAGAAGGAAUCUUUCCCCAUGGAACAAAAUCUUAACGAACCACCCCCCCUGGAUGAAGAAAGGUUUUCGAACCUAAAAAUUUGGUGGUAAGGAAAAACCAAUACCCGUCCAAUUAGGGGGGAACCUGGACGGACCCUAACCAAAAACCACCGGUAACCACCUGGCAACCACCGGGGGUAUUAAUAAGGGGCAGCGGUGGUCGGAAUAAUGGGCGAAACCCCGGGAGGCCGUUUCUUAGUCUGUGGGAAGCCCCCCGCUCAACCGGGGAGGGCAUUGGAAACUGGGGAACUUGAGUGCAGAAGAGAGAGUGGAAUUCCACGUGUAGCGGUUGAAAUGCGUAAGAUGUGAAGAACACCAGUGCGAAGCGACUCUCUGGUCUGUAACUGACGCUGAGGCGCGAAAGCGUGGGGAGCGAACAGGAUUAGAUACCCUGGUAGUCCACGCCGUAAACGAUGAGUGCUAAGUGUUAGAGGGUUUCCGCCCUUUAGUGCUGCAGCAAACGCAUUAAGCACUCCGCCUGGGGAGUACGGUCGCAAGACUGAAACUCAAAGGAAUUGACGGGGGCCCGCACAAGCGGUGGAGCAUGUGGUUUAAUUCGAAGCAACGCGAAGAACCUUACCAGGUCUUGACAUCCUCUGACAACCCUAGAGAUAGGGCUUCCCCUUCGGGGGCAGAGUGACAGGUGGUGCAUGGUUGUCGUCAGCUCGUGUCGUGAGAUGUUGGGUUAAGUCCCGCAACGAGCGCAACCCUUGAUCUUAGUUGCCAGCAUUCAGUUGGGCACUCUAAGGUGACUGCCGGUGACAAACCGGAGGAAGGUGGGGAUGACGUCAAAUCAUCAUGCCCCUUAUGACCUGGGCUACACACGUGCUACAAUGGGCAGAACAAAGGGCAGCGAAGCCGCGAGGCUAAGCCAAUCCCACAAAUCUGUUCUCAGUUCGGAUCGCAGUCUGCAACUCGACUGCGUGAAGCUGGAAUCGCUAGUAAUCGCGGAUCAGCAUGCACGCCCCCAAGC
rnacentral:rRNA from 1 species